rnacentral:rRNA from 1 species
UACGUAGGGGGCAAGCGUUGUCCGGAAUCAUUGGGCGUAAAGCGCGCGUAGGCGGCCCGGUAAGUCCGCUGUAAAAGUCCAGGGCUCAACCCUGGAAAGCCGGUGGAUACUGUCGGGCUAGAGUCCGGAAGAGGCGAGUGGAAUUCCUGGUGUAGCAGUGAAAUGCGCAGAUAUCAGGAGGAACACCGAUGGCGAAGGCAGGUCUCUGGGCAUUAACUGACGCUGAGGAGCGAAAGCAUGGGGAGCGAACAGG